GAUGAAGAACGUAGCAAAAUGCGAUACUUGGUGUGAAUUGCAGAAUCCCGUGAACCAUCGAGUUUUUGAACGCAAGUUGCGCCCGAAGCCUUUUGGCCGAGGGCACGUCUGCCUGGGCGUCACGCAUCGCGUCGCCCCCCACAAUUCUCCGUAAAGGGAACAUGUGUUUUGGGGGCGGAUAUUGGUCUCCCGUGCUCAUGGCGUGGUUGGCCGAAAUAGGAGUCCUUUCGAUGGACGCACGAACUAGUGGUGGUCGUAAAAACCCUCGUCUUUUGUUUCGUGCUGUUGCUCGCAAGGUAAACUCUUUAAAAACCCCAAUGUGUCGUCUCUUGACGACGCUUCGACCGCGACCCCAGGUCAGGCGGGACUACCCGCUGAGUUUAAGCAUAUCAAUAAGGGAGGA
rnacentral:misc_RNA from 1 species